rnacentral:rRNA from 1 species
AUACCUCUUUGUCAAAACCUGAUCUCAUCAAAUCUCAGCAGCUAAGAGAGGGUGGGCCUGGUUAGUACUUGGAUGCGAGACCACUGGGAAUAUCAAGUA